rnacentral:lncRNA from 1 species
UAAAUAAUGACUUUUACUGGUAAUAACUAGAAUGACUCGUCGUGGACAAAAGUCAUUUCUAUCGUUUUUGUAUGUCCACAGAAAUAUCCCAGAAACCAAAGGUCGUGGUCCCAGAAGAUGUCCUGAUUCUAGGAAAUAAGUGAAACAUAGAAGUCUGGAGUCAGAACAAUCCCAGUAAAUCUUAAUAAAAGGGUUUAUAUUUUAGCACAAAGCAGACACUUGGAAGAAUUGACAAAAAAGGAUCCAGACUUGGCGAAAUGGCAGAUUCCAGGGCUGGGGCUGGGAUGUUGCAAGAUGGGCUGAAAACAAUGGGAAAAGAAUGACUUGACAGUGAUGACAUCUGGCAGAUGCCACCUUCAUCAUAAGGCCACAAUUCAUACAAGCCAUGGGACCAGUCGAACCCAUUCACCACCCGGUAGGACCCAGCGAGGAGAGCAUGACAUCAUUUUUGUGAUACUUCUGCCAGGAAUGUGUAUCCUGAAUCCAGCCAGAGGAAACACUAGACAGACCCAACGUUCUACAAUUUGCAAUCAUCUAAAGGGCAUGAGACCAGGGAAAGACUGAGAAACUGGUUUUGAAGAAAAUCAAGGAGACUUUGAGAACCAAACACGACACGAGAUUCUAUACUGGAUCCCUUUAGUAUGAAGGACUUUAGUGGGACAAGUGGUGAAACUUGAAGGGUAUUGGGGACUGGAUGGUGGGGAGGGCUCUGUGCUAAUUGCGCAGGUAUCAAUUCUUCUUGCCUCAGCUUAUCAAUCAAUCCUUACCAAUAAUUAGUAAGACUGCAAAAUGAAAUUAAACAGUUUCCUUUACAUUUUCUGCCUACUGAGAGCUGUAAAACAUGAUGAUGAUAAAGCAAAUAGAAAAAUAAUGUUAGUAAAAGAUGGAAAUAUAAAAGCAUAUUUGGAAGAAAUUAUUCAAUGGAGAAUAAGAAAUGAGAGAAAUAUGUUCAGUGGUGGAAUAGUGC